AGCAGGAGAAACUCAGGGUUAGUUGAAGAAAACCUGCCAGCGAGCAGGUUAGGUUCACGGAGUAUGUUGCCAGGGUAACUGACUCAGAGUAAAGCUGAUCUGGCUUUGUGAAACUGAAAGAGUUUCCCUCAUCUCGGGUUUAACUAAGUCCGAGUUUUCACUAAACCUGCUUUCUGAAACGGACCCCGGCUUUGUGGAAUACCCCUCUGGUUUAGGAGCAGAACCGUAAUCAUGUUCUGUCAUCACCACAGAACCUGCGAUCUCCUCCAUCGGCUCUUCUUCACACGGCAGCGGUUGCUCCAGAGGAAGGGCUUGGUGAACGUCAUUGCCUAAGCGAGUUGAUCUGCUCUUUUAUAAACGGACUCCCCUCUUGGCAGUCCCCACAGUUGUUCCACUGGAAACGGGAGGGAACAGACCCGAACGAGACAACACUAGCCUAGUUGUGAUGUGACGCAGUUGUUGUUCAAAGCUCUUCUGUCUGCACCGAGGAGCCAAGCAGCUCAAUCUUUACUCUCAGAACCUUUAGAACCGUGUUAAUGUUCUGACUCGUUUAUAAACACUUCUCUGUGAUUUUGCUGAACACCUAAAUCUCUUUAUUCCCUGCUUUCCUUGCUUUUGUGGUUCUAUAUUUCCACACUACACGGAAAGCACACGUUUCAUCACGGAGAAGAUAAGGUCUCCAGUCUACUAUGGAUGAGGAGAGAGCGGAGGGGGGUCCUGCCUCUAAAACCAUUCCGUCUGGGCAACAUGGCCGCCAGAGCAAAGCUAAGAGCCCAGAGCAGCAGGAGAGAGCAGACUCCCCUGGACCCAGCUGUGUCUCCAUGAAGAGUGACUGGUCUAUGGCUCACCCUCCUGACCUUAAAGAUGGACGCCCCUCCAGAGAGGAAGGGUAAGGAUUUGUCAAAGAUUAUGAAACUACGACAUCUCUCAGACAUCCUUUAAUCCUUGUUCUUGUUUUUCUAGAAGAGUCCAGCAGGAGAGAGCAGACUGCCCUGGACCCAGCUGUGUCUCCAUGAAGAGUGACCGGUCUAUGGAUCACCCACCUGACCUUAAAGAUGGACGCCCCUCCAGAGAGGAAGGGUAAAAAUUGUAAAGAUUAUAAAGAUACAGCAUCUAUGAAAAAUCCCCAAAAAUGUUUUUAUUAAAAAAGAUUGUGUGUGUGUGUGUGUGUGUGUGUGUGUGUGUGUGUGUG